rnacentral:rRNA from 1 species
UGCAGUCGAGCGGUAACAGGCGUAGCAAUACGUGCUGACGAGCGGCGAACGGGUGAGCAAUGCUUCGGAAUCUGCCCAAUGAUGGGGAAUAACCAGUCGAAAGAUUGGCUAAUACCGCAUACGCCCUACGGGGGAAAGCGGGGGUCGCAAGACCUCGCGUCGAUGGAUGAGCCGAAGUCGGAUUAGCUAGUUGGUAGGGUAACGGCCUACCAAAGCGACGAUCCGUAGCUGGUCUGAGAGGACGACCAGCCACACUGGGACUGAGACACGGCCCAGACUCCUACGGGAGGCAGCAGUGGGGAAUAUUGCGCAAUGGGCGAAAGCCUGACGCAGCGACGCCGCGUGAGGGAUGAAGGCCUUCGGGUUGUAAACCUCUUUUAGCAGGGAAGAAGCGAAAGUGACGGUACCUGCAGAAGAAGCACCGGCUAACUACGUGCCAGCAGCCGCGGUAAUACGUAGGGUGCAAGCGUUGUCCGGAAUUAUUGGGCGUAAAGAGCUCGUAGGCGGUCUGUCGCGUCUGCUGUGAAAACCUAGGGCUUAACCCUGGGCCUGCAGUGGGUACGGGCAGACUAGAGUGCGGUAGGGGAGACUGGAAUUCCUGGUGUAGCGGUGAAAUGCGCAGAUAUCAGGAGGAACACCGGUGGCGAAGGCGGGUCUCUGGGCCGUAACUGACGCUGAGGAGCGAAAGCAUGGGUAGCGAACAGGAUUAGAUACCCUGGUAGUCCAUGCCGUAAACGUUGGGCGCUAGGUGUGGGGCUCAUUCCACGAGUUCCGUGCCGCAGCAAACGCAUUAAGCGCCCCGCCUGGGGAGUACG